UCACUCUGCCUGCCUCAAGGACUUGUCAAUGGGCUUGCUAUGCUUUUGACUCUACUUGAAGAUUCUUCAGGACUCAACUGAAAUGUCACUCUUCAAUGAUGACUCCCGUAAAGCACAUGUUCAAAACUGGGCCCCUCUUGUUAAACUCUCUUCACAGCACUUCCAUCUGGUUUUAACAUAGUUGGUAAUUACAGAUUUAUCUGGAACUGCUCAAUAGCUGCUUUUGCCAUUAUACUGAAAGCUCCAGGAGCUCAGAAGUCAUGAUCUGCUGCUUGUUUGUUUGUUUUUUUAAUGUUUAUUUAUUUUUGAGAGAGAGACAAAGUACGAGACUGGAAGGGACAAAGAG